UUUACUGUCUACAUCAUCCCUUGUGAGGAUAAGUGUUCGCUUUCUCUGGCGUUAACAAAUAGCAGGAGAUGACAUGGAGCAAAAGAUGGCGAAGUAUCAAGCUGCUCAAUCAACUGAUGGUUCAGUGAAAGUGUGAGCCUUGGACAGGAGCAUCUAGCAGAGGCUGUGGAUAACGGUACAGAAGGUGUCAAUGAUCCUG